rfam:Gorilla gorilla gorilla genomic chromosome, chr1, whole genome shotgun sequence
GCUGGGCAUGGUGGUGCAUGCCUGUAAUCCCAGCAACUUGGGAGGCUGAGGCAGAAGAAUCGCUUGAACCUGGGAGGCAGAGGUUGCAGUGAGCCAAGAUCAUGCCACUGAAUUCCAGCCUGGGUGACAGAGCAAGACUCUGUCUCAA